CACAUGCAAGUCGAGCGGAAACGAGUUAUCUGAACCUUCGGGGGACGAUAACGGCGUCGAGCGGCGGACGGGUGAGUAAUGCCUAGGAAAUUGCCCUGGUGUGGGGGAUAACCAUUGGAAACGAUGGCUAAUACCGCAUAAUACCUUCGGGUCAAAGAGGGGGACCUUCGGGCCUCUCGCGUCAGGAUAUGCCUAGGUGGGAUUAGCUAGUUGGUGAGGUAAUGGCUCACCAAGGCGACGAUCCCUAGCUGGUCUGAGAGGAUGAUCAGCCACACUGGAACUGAGACACGGUCCAGACUCCUACGGGAGGCAGCAGUGGGGAAUAUUGCACAAUGGGCGCAAGCCUGAUGCAGCCAUGCCGCGUGUGUGAAGAAGGCCUUCGGGUUGUAAAGCACUUUCAGUCGUGAGGAAGGUAGUGUAGUUAAUAGCUGCAUUAUUUGACGUUAGCGACAGAAGAAGCACCGGCUAACUCCGUGCCAGCAGCCGCGGUAAUA
rnacentral:rRNA from 1 species